rnacentral:rRNA from 1 species
GAUGAACGCUGGCGGCGUGCUUAACACAUGCAAGUCGAACGAAGCACUUUAUUUGAUUUCCUUCGGGACUGAUUAUUUUGUGACUGAGUGGCGGACGGGUGAGUAACGCGUGGGUAACCUGCCUUGUACAGGGGGAUAACAGUUGGAAACGGCUGCUAAUACCGCAUAAGCGCCCAGCAUCGCAUGAUGCAGUGUGAAAAACUCCGGUGGUAUAAGAUGGACCCGCGUUGGAUUAGCUAGUUGGUGAGGGAACGGCCCACCAAGGCGACGAUUCAUAGCCGACCAGAGAGGGUGACCGGCCACAUUGGGACUGAGACACGGCCCAAACUCCUACGGGAGGCAGCAGUGGGGAAUAUUGCAAAAUGGGCGAAAGCCUGAUGCAGCGACGCCGCGUGAGCGAAGAAGUAUUUCGGUAUGUAAAGCUCUAUCAGCAGGGAAGAUAAUGACGGUACCUGACGAAGAAGCACCGGCUAAAUACGUG